rnacentral:rRNA from 1 species
AUGGCUGCCGGUUCGGAGCUUGCGGUCUUGGUGGCAUGCGCGCUGCUGUUAGCUGCGGCGUGCGGAGGCGCCCCCGACGACGUCCCCGGGCUCGAGGUCGGGUACUACGAGGAGACGUGCCCCGAGGCGGAGUCCAUCGUGAGGGCCUCCGUGAGCGAGGCCGUCGCCGAGGACGCCGGCGUCGGCGCCGGCCUCAUCCGCCUCCUCUUCCACGACUGCUUCGUCCAGGGCUGCGACGCGUCGGUGCUGCUGGACCCGACGGCGUCGAACCAGCGGCCGGAGAAGCUCGGCCCGCCCAACAUCAACAGCCUGCGUGGCUUCGAGGCGAUCGACGCGGCUAAGGCCGCCGUGGAGGAGGCGUGCCCGGGAACCGUCUCCUGCGCUGACAUCGUCGCCUUCGCAGCGCGCGACGCGUCCUACCUCCUGAGCGGCUACCGCGUCGACUUCGCGAUGCCGGCGGGCCGGCUCGACGGCCGCCGCUCGAACGCCUCCGACACGGUCCCGUCCCUGCCCCCGGCGUCCGCCAGCUUCACCGACCUCGUCGACAACUUUGCCAGGCAGGGCCUCGACGCGGAGGACAUGGUGGUGCUCUCCGGCGCGCACUCCGUCGGCCACGCCCGCUGCUCGACCUUCGCCGCGGGCCGCACGGCAGUCGACGCCGACGCCGACAUCGACCCGUCGUUUGCGCGGUCGCUGCGGAGGAGGUGCGUCCGGGCGGAGAACAGCACCGGCGACCCGACGGUGAGCCAGGACGCGGUGACCCCGACGGAGCUGGACAGCCAGUACUACCGCAACGUGCUGAAGCGCAGGGUGCUGCUCGCCUCCGACGCGGCGCUGCUGGAGACCCCGGAGGCGGCGCGGAUGGUGCGGGACAGCGCGCGCGCCGGCGGGCGGUGGGAGCAGAAGUUCGCCAAGGCCAUGGUGAAGAUGGCCGGCAUCGGCGUGAAGAAGGCCGGCCGCCACGCCGAGAUCAGGGCGAACUGCAGGGUCGUCAACUACUGA